rnacentral:rRNA from 1 species
GACGAACGCUGGCGGCGUGCCUAACACAUGCAAGUCGAACGAGGUCCAUGAGAGCUUGCUCUCGGACGACCUAGUGGCGAACGGGUGAGUAACACGUGAGAAACCUGCCUCGGAGUGGGGAAUAACUCGGGGAAACUCGAGCUAAUACCGCAUACCUUCAGAUGAUCGCAUGGUCGACUGAAGAAAGAAUUUCGCUCUGAGAGGGUCUCGCGGCCUAUCAGCUAGUUGGUGGGGUAACGGCCUACCAAGGCAACGACGGGUAGCUGGAUUGAGAGAUCGAUCAGCCACACUGGGACUGGGACACGGCCCAGACUCCUACGGGAGGCAGCAGUGGGGAAUCUUGCGCAAUGGGCGAAAGCCUGACGCAGCAACGCCGCGUGCGGGAUGACGGCCUUCGUGGUUGUAAACCGCUUUCAGCAGGGACGAAAUUGACGGUACCUGCAGAAGAAGCCCCGGCUAACUACGUGCCAGCAGCCGCCGUAACAC